UUACAAAAGAACAGUUUAGCCAAAGCAUUUAAAUUUCACGAUGCCAAGAUUAUUUCCUCUACUGGCCUUGACUGCCAUGGUGGCAUGCAAUAUGGAUGCUGCACCAAUCUUUCACUCACCUCUAAUCCUAAUACGUGGUCCAACCAUACAAUUUCAGUGGAAACUAUAUUUAAAGAAGUUAUUUAACUUUCCAAUGUACGACUCACGAGAAGAUGAGUAUUACGAUCAUGAAAAUAACUAUUUAGAGGAUGAGAAUGAAGACCAAGAGGAAGUGAAUGAAGAUGAAGAAGAGACAAAUGAAGAUGAAGAAGAGGUGACUGAAGAUGGUUCGGACGUUGGUUACGUUUCCAGUGACAGCGGAAAUGACAGAAACACCACAAGCAGCCAGCCAAACCCUAGCUCGUCCAGCGAUGUCACCGAAAACAGCCCUCUCUCUUCUACUGCUUCAACAACACAGGCUCCUGACGCUACGAGGGUGUCAAAAACCGUAGCGCAGCAGAUGUCUACAACAGCUUUAAACUCAUCGACACCAAGUGGUUGAUUUACAGUGCAAUGUUAAAGCAGCGUUAACUUGGCUGCUGGCAAACUUAGAUGCUCAGGUGAAGAGUUAUCCAUUUCACGUUUGCAGUUAUGUAGAAUUAGCAUUUAUUAUAAUCUCAAUGCUGAGAUGUUAAACAAGUCUCCUACGCUCGAUGUACCUGCCUCCUCUACCCUUAGUGCUUCACCAGGGCAUGGCCAUGAUUACCAUGUGAAGCACUAGCGUGUUUUCAAGAAAAAUCCAAAGAAUUGUGAUUAAUUCCUGGGAACUAUGAUUUUACUACAAUUGUAAGUUAUAAUUUUCAUUCUUUUGUUUUUGUUUUUCUCCUAUUAACUACUGAGGUAUAUGUACAUGUGUACUACAUUUUUCUCUAAUUAUACAAAUGCUAUCUA